GUUCUCGUGCGAUCACCGAAGUUAAGUAACAUCGAGCCUGAUCAUUACUUAGAUGGGUGACCGCUUAAGAAUACCAGGUGCUGUAAG